UUCGCAAUGCCCGAAAGGGUGACGAAGCGACGCCGCGUGGGUGAGGAAGGCCUUCGGGUUGUAAAGCCCUGUCAGGAGUUAAGAAAUGUAAGUGCGCUAAUAUCGCAUUUACUUGACGAAGGCUCCAAAGGAAGCCACGGCUAACUCUGUGCCAGCAGCCGCGGUAAUACGGAGGUGGCAAGCGUUGUUCGGAAUUAUUGGGCGUAAAGAGCACGUAGGUGGGUUUGUAAGUCAGAUGUGAAAGCCUCCUGUUCAACGGGAGAAUUGCAUCUGAAACUACUGAUCUUGAGUAUAGGAGGGGAGAAUGGAACUUCUGGUGGAGCGGUGAAAUGCGUAGAUAUCAGAAGGAACGCCGGCGGCGAAAGCGAUUCUCUGGCCUAUUACUGACACUCAGUGUGCGAAAGCUAGGGGAGCAAACGGGAUUAGAUACCCCGGUAGUCCUAGCCGUAAACGAUGGGCACUAAGUAGAGGGGUUUU
rnacentral:rRNA from 1 species